CGUGGCUCAGGACGAACGCUGGCGGCGUGCUUAACACAUGCAAGUCGAGCGGAAAGGCCCCUUCGGGGGUACUCGAGCGGCGAACGGGUGAGUAACACGUGAGCAACCUGCCCCUGACUCUGGGAUAAGCCCGGGAAACUGGGUCUAAUACCGGAUAUGACCACUCCAGGCAUCUGGUGGUGGUGGAAAGUUUUUCGGUUGGGGAUGGGCUCGCGGCCUAUCAGCUUGUUGGUGGGGUGAUGGCCUACCAAGGCGACGACGGGUAACCGGCCUGAGAGGGCGACCGGUCACACUGGGACUGAGACACGGCCCAGACUCCUACGGGAGGCAGCAGUGGGGAAUAUUGCGCAAUGGGCGGAAGCCUGACGCAGCGACGCCGCGUGGGGGAUGACGGCCUUCGGGUUGUAAACCCCUUUCAGCAGGGACGAAGCUAACGUGACGGUACCUGCAGA
rnacentral:rRNA from 1 species